rnacentral:rRNA from 1 species
UGGCGCAAGCCCGAGUUGUAAUUGUAGAGGAUGCUUCUAGGUAGCGACCGGUCUAAGUUCCUUGGAACAGGACGUCAUAGAGGGUGAGAAUCCCGUAUGUGACCGGCCCGCACCUUCUACGUAGCUCCUUCGACGAGUCGAGUUGUUUGGGAAUGCAGCUCUAAAUGGGAGGUAAAUUUCUUCUAAAGCUAAAUACCGGCCAGAGACCGAUAGCGCACAAGUAGAGUGAUCGAAAGAUGAAAAGCACUUUGGAAAGAGAGUUAAAAAGCACGUGAAAUUGUUGAAAGGGAAGCGCUCACAACCAGACUUCUGGGCGGUGUUCCGCCGGUCUUCUGACCGGUCUACUCGCCGUCCCGAGGCCAACAUCAUCUGGGACCGCCGGAUAAGACCUUAGGAAUGUAGCUCCCCUCGGGGAGUGUUAUAGCCUGUGGUGAUGCGGCGCGUCUCGGGUGAGGUCCGCGCUUCGGCAAGGAUGUUGGCGUAAUGGUUGUCAGCGGCCCGUCUUGAAACACGGACCAAGGAGUCUAACAUCUAUGCGAGUGUUCGGGUGUCAAACCCCUACGCGUAAUGAAAGUGAACGGAGGUGGGAAGGGUAACCUGCACCAUCGACCGAUCCUGAUGUCCUCGGAUGGAUUUGAGUAAGAGCAUAGCUGUUGGGACCCGAAAGAUGGUGAACUAUGCCUGAAUAGGGUGAAGCCAGAGGAAA